UGAGAGUUUGAUCCUGGCUCAGAGCGAACGUUGGCGAUGCGUCUUAAGCAUGCAAGUCGAGCGGGCUUAUUCGGGCAACUGGAUAAGUUAGCGGCGAACUGGUGAGUAACACGUAGGUAAUCUGCCGUGAAGUGGGGGAUAACCCAUGGAAACAUGGGCUAAUACCGCAUAUACUCUUGCUACAUAAGUAGAGUAGAGGAAAGUUUUUUCGCUUCACGAUGAGCCUGCGGCCUAUUAGCCUGUUGGUAGGGUAAUGGCCUACCAAAGCUACGAUAGGUAGCCGACCUGAGAGGGUGACCGGCCACAUUGGGACUGAGAUACGGCCC
rnacentral:rRNA from 1 species